CUAGAUUACAUUGACUUGAAAGGCCAAAGAAAAAACGUAAUGAAUCGGUUGAAUGCUUAUGGGAGAGGAAUGGAAGACGAUGGCAUGGUUGACUACACCAGUACAAGAGACCGUCUGGCAAAUAUCCUCUUCUAAAAGCACGAGCUGUUUUCCUGGCCAAAGGGCACCUUCCAUCAACCUCCAAAACAGAACCACUGUGUUCAGUCAACAGCUUCCCUAGUGUUAAGAAAAGAGAAAUUGUGUAUUAAUAAAACUGGACCAAGACCUGUAACAAAACCUAAGUAAAUCAAGAAAAU
rnacentral:lncRNA from 1 species